rnacentral:rRNA from 1 species
CCCCGGGAAACUGGGGCUAAUUCUCGAUAGGUGAAGAACUCUGGAAUGAGUCUUUGCCAAAAAGACGUUUACGUUAUGCUCGUAGGCGUCGCCCAAGGAUGAGGCCGCGACCGAUCAGGUUGUUGGUGAGGUAAUGGCUCACCAAGCCUUUUACCGGUGCGGGCCGUGAGAGCGGGAGCCCGGAGAUGGGCACUGAGACAAGGGCCCAGGCCCUACGGGGCGCAGCAGUCGCGAAAACUUUGCAAUACACGAAAGUGUGACAGGGCUAUCCCGAGUGCCAUCCGCUGAGGAAGGCUUUUACCCAGUCUAGAACGCUGGGGGAAUAAGGAGAGGGCAAGUCUGGUGUCAGCCGCCGCGGUAAUACCAGCUCUCCGAGUGGUGUGGAUGUUUAUUGGGCUUAAAGCAUCCGUAGCUGGCUGAGUUAGUCCCUUGUUAAAUCCACCGAAUUAAUCGUUGGAUUGCGGGGGAUACUGCUCGGCUAGGGGACGAGAGAGGCAGACGGUAUUUCUGGGGUAGGGGUGAAAUCCUAUAAUCCCAGGAGGACCACCAGUGGCGAAGGCUGUCUGCUAGAACGCGCCCGACGGUGAGGGAUGAAAGCUGGGGGAGCGAACCGGAUUAGAUACCCGGGUAGUCCCAGCUGUAAACGAUGCAGACUAGGUGUUUGGACGGCCACGUGCCGUUCUAGUGCCGCAGGGAAGCUGUUAAGUCUGCCGCCUGGGGAGUACGAUCGCAAGAUUGAAACUUAA